AUGCACUCAGCUGGGCCUCACGGGGCUGAGUCCCCGAUGAGCAAGCAGGAAGAGAAGGACGCAGAGCUGGACCGGAGGAUAGUCGCCCUUCGCAAGAAGAACCAGGCCCUGCUGCGCAGGUACCAGGAGAUCCAGGAAGACCGGCGGCAGGCAGAGCAGGGGGGCAUGGCUGUGACCACACCGGAGCUCCUUCGUCCUGAUGGCCUCACUGUCACCGUCAGCCAGGGGAAGCGGGUGGUCAGCCGGAACUGGGUGAGGAGUGCCCUUGGACCUGGAGCAGCCAGUGAGACGCUUGAGGAUGAGCAGGCAGAGGCCCACACUGGCACCUUCUGCUUGGGGGAGCGGGUGGAUCUGGCCGUGACCAUGGAAAACAAAGCCGAGGCCAAGCGGAUCGUAAGUGAGAAGCCCACCAGGGCACGGAACCAGGGAGCAGAAGCAUCACCUGCAGCAGGCGUGGGCCGGAGCCCCUCCGUGCCACCGGCCGUCAGCUCAGAUUCUGCACGGAGGGGUGUCCAGGAGCCCCGGAGUCCAGCCCCGGUCCCAGGCCCAGCUCCCCGCCGGGCACUGGGGGGCCCCUUGGAGGUGGGCUGGGACUAUGCCCAGUGGAAGCAGGAGCGGGAGCAGAUAGACCAGGCCCGCCUGGCGCGGCACAGAGACGCACAGGGUGACUGGCGCCGCCCGUGGGACGUGGACAAGGCCAAGCCCACGCGACAGGGCUCCAGCAAGCCUCGGGAAGAGGGCCCAGCCAGGGUGGGCAGCACGAGGGGUCCCAGGAGUCACCGAAAGCUACAGCCCCCACCACUGCCCCCUGAAGGCAAAGGCAGUGCUACUCGGGGUGGGCAACAGGGCAGACCCGUGGUGGCGCUGGCCACCCGCAGCAAGGCUCGAGGGACAGAGAGGCUGACUGGCAGGGCCCGCAGGUGGGAAAUGAAGGAAGACAGGGAGGAGCCGGAGAGCCAGGAGGGAAGCCAGAGCACCAGAAAGACUCCGAAUGGGAAGGAACAUGAGCAGACUCAGAGCAGGAUGGAGCCGGGCGGACCCACCAGUGCCCCGGGAACCACCCCCACGCCAGCAUCGGCAUCACCAGAGGGGCUGAAAGAGGAGUCGGGAGAUUUGGCAGCCAGUCCAGCCAGUCCGGGCUCUCCACCAAACUUAGACUUGGUUCCCCUCGAUCUCUCCCUAGGAGGCGCCAGUAGCACUGGGUCUCAGGAGAGCGCCUGUGUGCUCAGUUCAAAGCCUGGGGCCCAGGAGAGCCCUGCAUCCCGGCUGGAGGGCCAGGAGCAGCCCCUCGGGUCAACCGAGCCCCAGGCCAUGCCAGAAGCCCAGACUUGUUCCGGGCCCCCCAAAGGGGCAGAGCCCCUGGAGUCCAGAGAAGACAGGCCUGGCAAGGCUGGGGCCCAGCAGGGCCUGACACCUCGGAGCAGGGCCCCUAGAGGAGGCAGCCAAAGGGCGAGGGGUGCAGGAGGUGUGAGGAGCAGGACAGGGGGUCCUGGCCCUGCAGGAAGAUGCUGA
rnacentral:lncRNA from 1 species